AGGGGAAUAYUUCSGCAAUGGACGCAAGUYUKAMCGAGCAAUGCCGCGUGAGUGAGGAAGGCCCCUCGGGUCGUAAAGCUCUGUUACCAGGGAAGAACGCUUGCGAGAGUAACUGCUCGUAAGGUGACGGUACCUGAGAAGAAAGCCCCGGCUAACUACGUGCCAGCAGCCGCGGUAAUA
rnacentral:rRNA from 1 species